AUAAACCCACCCGCCAAAUGGCGUGGUGGGCAAAGGCUUGCUGCCCUGGGAGCGGGGAACGUGCUAUCAGGUUGUUGGUGAGGUAACGGCUCACCAAGCCUAAGACGGCUAGCGGGUGUGAGAGCACGACCCGCCGCAUCGGGACUGAGACACUGCCCGGAACUCCUACGGGAGGCUGCAGUAACGAAUAUUCCGCAAUGCGCGAAAGCGUGACGGAGCAAUGCCGCGUGCAGGAUGAAGCCCCUCGGGGUGUAAACUGCUGUCAGGGAUUAGAAACACAAUGAUCAUUCCCAAAGGAAGAGCCGGCUAACUCUGUGCCAGCAGCCGCGGUAAUACAGAGGGCUCAAGCGUUAAUCGGUGUCACUGGGCUUAAAGGGUGUGUAGGCGGGCCCGUAAGUGUCAUGUGAAAUCCCACGGCUCAACCGUGGAACGGCAUGGCAAACUGCGGGUCUUGAGGUCAGUAGAGGCUGUCGGAACUCUAGGUGUAGCGGUGAAAUGCGUAGAUAUCUAGAGGAACGCCAAAGGUGAAGACAGGCAGCUGGGCUGUACCUGACGCUGAGACACGAAAGCGUGGGUAGCGAACGGGAUUAGAUACCCCGGUAGUCCACGCCCUAAACGAUGUGUACUAGAUCGUGGAGGUUUUGACGCCAUCAUGGUGGAAGCUAAAGUGUUAAAGUACACCGCCUGGGGAAUUCGGUCGCAAGAUUAAAACUCAAAGGGAAUUGACGGGGGGCUCACACAAAGCGGUGGAGCGUGUGGCUUAAUUCGAAGCAACGCGAAGAACCUUAUCCUGGGUUUGGCAUGUAUGGAUUAACUCCCUGAAAGGGGAGCCACGCCCUCGGGUGGAACAUACACAGGUGGUGCAUGGCUGUC
rnacentral:rRNA from 1 species